UGUGGGUUGGGCCAGUACCCAAACCCCAACAUACAAAAAAUCAAAAACAAAAUGAAAAGACUAAAACAAUCUAUCAAACAAAAUAAAGAAAACAGAAAAUAAUCAAAAAGAAGAGUAAGGAGAAGAUGGAUCGAUAAUUCUUCAUCUUCGUCGCAAUGUACAAAUCGAGCUCCGCUACCAAUUUUAGCUAAAGAUUGAAGUUUUCAUCAAGCUGUUGAAGUUCAAGAUCGGAAAAGUAAGUUGAGUUUUGGGAUGUUCAUUUUAGACAUUCUAGAAUCUCAUAAACAUCAUGAAAUUGAUCUAAGUGAAGACUUCCUCAGCUCAACAAACUUUUGAUUUGUUCUUCUGCAACAAGAUGUUGAGCCUACCUUGAACCCAAUACCACUGCCUAAGAGAGUAAAAAUGUACGAUUCAUUAACAUUAACCUCUGGUUCUCCAGCUCUGGACAACCAUAGAAAUUUUUUCUAUUACUACUAGUUGAAGAUCUACAAUAAUAUUUUUCUUUUUCACUUCAUCCUCUGUCCGAGAAAUUCGAGGAAUACCAUCAUUGUAACUAAUUGAUUUCAUUGCUACUGAAACACCCUUAUUUAUCUGUUGAGACUUCAUCUCAGGUUUUGGUAAAUCUGAAAACUUGAUUUGAUUA